UAGGGAAUAUUGGACAAUGGACGCAAGUCUGAUCCAGCCAUGCCGCGUGGAGGAUGACUGCCCUCUGGGUUGUAAACUCCUUUUGUACAGGAAGAAACCUCCUCAUUUAUGAGUGAGCUGACGGUACUGUAAGAAUAAGCACCGGCUAACUCCGUGCCAGCAGCCGCGGUAAUACGGAGGGUGCAAGCGUUAUCCGGAUUCACUGGGUUUAAAGGGUGCGUAGGCGGUUUGAUAAGUCAGUGGUGAAAUCAACGGGCUCAACCUGUUAACUGCCAUUGAUACUGUUAGACUUGAAUUUGGUAGAGGUAGGCGGAAUGAUGCAUGUAGCGGUGAAAUGCUUAGAUAUGCUUCGGAACACCGAUUGCGAAGGCAGCUUACUAUGUCAAGAUUGACGCUGAGGCACGAAAGCGUGGGUAGCGAACA
rnacentral:rRNA from 1 species